UUUCCGUAGGUGAACCUGCGGAGGAUCAUUG
rnacentral:rRNA from 1 species